rnacentral:rRNA from 1 species
UGGGGAAUCUUAGACAAUGGGGGAAACCCUGAUCUAGCCAUGCCGCGUGAGUGACGAAGGCCUUAGGGUCGUAAAGCUCUUUCGCUGGGGAAGAUAAUGACGGUACCCAGUAAAGAAACCCCGGCUAACUCCGUGCCAGCAGCCGCGGUAAUACGGAGGGGGUUAGCGUUGUUCGGAAUUACUGGGCGUAAAGCGCACGUAGGCGGGCUGUUAAGUCGGGGGUGAAAUCCCGGGGCUCAACCCCGGAACUGCCUUCGAUACUGGCAGCCUUGAGUUCGAGAGAGGUGAGUGGAAUUCCGAGUGUAGAGGUGAAAUUCGUAGAUAUUCGGAGGAACACCAGUGGCGAAGGCGGCUCACUGGCUCGAUACUGACGCUGAGGUGCGAAAGCGUGGGGAGCAAACAGG